rnacentral:rRNA from 1 species
UGGGGAAUAUUGCACAAUGGGCGCAAGCCUGAUGCAGCCAUGCCGCGUGUGUGAAGAAGGCCUUCGGGUUGUAAAGCACUUUCAGCGAGGAGGAAGGUGGUGAGCUUAAUACGCUCAUCAAUUGACGUUACUCGCAGAAGAAGCACCGGCUAACUCCGUGCCAGCAGCCGCGGUAAUACGGAGGGUGCAAGCGUUAAUCGGAAUUACUGGGCGUAAAGCGCACGCAGGCGGUUUGUUAAGUCAGAUGUGAAAUCCCCGGGCUCAACCUGGGAACUGCAUUUGAAACUGGCAAGCUAGAGUCUCGUAGAGGGGGGUAGAAUUCCAGGUGUAGCGGUGAAAUGCGUAGAGAUCUGGAGGAAUACCGGUGGCGAAGGCGGCCCCCCUGGACGAAGACUGACGCUCAGGUGCGAAAAGCGUGGGGAGCAAACAGAUUAGNUACCCUGGUAGUCCACGCUGUAAAACGAUGUCGAUUUUGGAGGUUGUGCCCCUUGAGGCGUGGNUUCCGAGCUAACGNGUUAAAUGACCG